CCUGCGGGAAACGGGAAAACCAACUUAGCUGGAAGGGCAAGCUCGUUUCAGACGGCAAAGAAUGCGAUAUAUUUUAAAAAAUAAUAACAGGGAGGACAGAAUAAUUGAUAAAUUAACCUCUAUCUGCCUCAGUUUCUUCCACUGUAAAAUGGGGGUAAUUGCACCUAUCCCCCAGGGUCGUUGUGAGGAGUGCCUGCUGCACCGUAGACACUCCAUAACUAGUACCUGUUGCUAUUGUUACAUUUGCAAAACUGCUUUUCAAAGUGUCUCUACUUAGAAUUAAUAUUUGAUCAUUAAGUGCAAAAAUUAAAAUUCACUACUGAAUUUAACAUUCAAGGCAACUAUGGAAACUUAAAAGUGCUCAUCAUGGCCAGGAUGUUGUUUUAUUGUUUUAGCAUCCCUCUGCCUGCUAGAAUGGGCAGCAUCAGCAGCCAAUAUUUGAGGCCAUUUUGACAAAGUCGUUUCAAUGUAUUUAACUGAAAUUCCAGAUCAUGAUUGAAAAGUGUGCUUCUUUGCCCCCCACAUGGCAGGGCAUUUCCUCUACUAGGAGCGGCUUUACUGCCACAAACCCACCCCUUGGACCAGCCAUUUGACACGAGCUGGGCUAACUGUAAGACCUCGAAGACCUGCAAAUGUUCUCUAUUCCUUUAUUUUUAGGUUUUCAAACUAUAGUUAUCUUCAAAUUGCAAACUGGUCCACUGGGCCUUUGUGAGAACCUUCUCGGAUCUUCCUGGCAAAAACUUUCUCUUUUUGGACCCAGGCGGCCAUCCGUGCUCCCUGGAGAGGAUUCCAGAUUUAGGCCAUCACAGCUGGGUACCACGAAGAGCCACCCUUGGGGCUCUGCAGAGACACUGCUGGGGAUGGAAGAGGCGAGACAAUUCUGGGCUCUCAGUCCUACUUUGACAUGAGCUGGGAAGUUAAGUUCUAAAAGAGCUGUAUUUUGGUUUAAGAUAAUGAAAGCUACAGUGUCACAUGUUUCAAAAGGGGAUGCGGAUCGCCUUCAUCUGUCUUCAAAGAGAACUGAACCAAGGGAAAGAUUUUGAGAUUCUGCUGGAGAAUAAUUGCAUGCAAAGUUGUGCUUAAGUUUAGACUGAACAAUUUUGCUAUAUAUUGGUCAGUUGAUAAACAUUAUUAAAUUCCAUCCAUGUGCCAGGAACGUGGCUAAGUGCUGAAACUACAAAGAAAAGGCAAAAGACAGACCCUGCCAUCAAGGAAUUCCUGGUCUAAUGUGGAAGACAACAUGAAGAAAGUCUGUAAAAACAAGAUAUAAAUGAUAAAAAUAGGAAAUAAAUCAUAGUGGGAAGGCUGAUCAGGUAAGGCUUCCUGUAGAAUUAGGGGUUAAGCUGAGAACCCUUUUAAAAUUAAAAAAAAAUCUUUCCCAGUUACAUGUAAUAACAAUCUUUUAUAUAUGUUUUCUGAAAUUAUAAUAUCCAAAUUGUCUCUCCCCUUUCCUUCCCUCUGCUGCUUCCUGAGAUGAGAAGCAAUUUGAUCUGGGUUAUUCAUGUAUGAUCUUGGAAAACUAUUCCUUAUUGGUCAUGUAAGAAAAUGCUCAUAUAAAUCUAAACCCUCCAAAUAAAAACACAUGCAAAUAAAGUGAAAAAUAUUUUUCUUCC